GCAAUUCUUCUUGAAUCAAGUGACUACAAAGUGGGAUUGAGAUUACAAGAAUUGAAAUUGUUGCGAUGAAUCUAAAUCGAAAGACACGAUCAUUCCUUCAGUUAGGCCUUAGCAUAUAACUAAAUAAUUCUUGGUGGGUGAUUAUUGAAUCGAAGACGAUGGCGUAAACAAAUGGAGGCGAUCGACAAGGAGGCAUUCAAGUUUGAAUAGGUAAGAAACUUUAUUUACGUUUUGGAUAGAUUCCAAAUAUGCGACUUGUCCUAUAUUUGCUUUUAGCUUGUGUUAGCUUUUACUCAGUAUAUUUAUUGCAUCUUAGCUAAAUGAAAUAUUUCAGACCGUGUUAUGCGAACUGACUGUAUGUAAACAAGUGCGAAUGUUGACAUCGGAAAUUGUUGGGGCGAACAAAACCUGCCGAUAAAUGGAUAUUCAUUAAAUUAGGGAUUUCAGUUAGGCCAUAAUAAAGCACUAGAUUGAAAUAGAUGAUGUAUAUUUGUGUCGAAUCAAAGACCCCGGGAAAGUUGUGACUUUGCAGAGAUGUUUGGACUAUUUCGUAAAUAAUUUCUACAUCGUUGCUGAAUUAAAUACUCGACAACGAUGCGGUUGUGCGGGGAUGUUCCGAAAAUAGUACAGGUGAUAUUAUUUGCUUAAAUUUUUUAUUAUUAUUUCAAUGGUCAAUUCUUUUGAUAGAUAGAUUGCCUCCUUUUGUUUCUUUAUUAUAUCCAACCCUUUUUUGUCAUGUCAAAUUACGUGGGCCAAAGUAGCCGGCUUGAAUACGUUUUAUUUAAUUUGUUUUUUCCAUCGAUAUUCUAGCGUUAUCUUUUUCCAAGUCUUUCACAGCUAUACUAAUGCAGUUAAGUCUAGGCCCACAAUUAUUGAUUCAAGUGUCUACGAAGUGGGACGAAAACGAAAGAUACAGCGAAAGAUAAACUAAAUACAAAUCCAGUUAGGCUAUAACAUAGUAUUGACGUGAUAAUUGUUGCCAAAUUAUUGAAUCGAAGACUCACUGAAGUGUAGUUAAAGGAGUCGAUCAAAGAUUAAUAAGGUAACUGUUAAUUUAUUUACACAAAUUUUACAGCAAUGAGUGCACGCACAAUCGCGGGCAAUAUAGCGUACAAUCUCGGCCAACCGAAGUUUUAUGAUCCCGUUAGUGUCAUUGUAUCGUUAUCUUAUAUUCCCCUCAACAUAAUUCUAAUUACAUAAUUAUAAAGGUUUCAUACUACUGGACUCUUGUGCUGAGAAAAGUACGUUCGUUGUAAAUGUAUUUAAAUUUACACUUUGAAUAGUCUUCCAAUAAGUCCUUCGUUUCAGCUGUUUCACAAAUAAUAUUUAUUCUAACGGGAGUCAAUAAAUGAUCUCGUUUCAUUCGCAGUCUUCUCGUUAUCUUGCAUGCAGUUUUGUGUUUUUACAGUUAUGUUUACUUAUGCAGUUAGACUAAUAUUAGGCUUAAAAUCGUUGAUUCGAGGUGGAAUUGGACCACAAAUGGAAAUGUUGGAAUCGGGAUAAGCUGGAGGUAUGCGGUUAGAUGAACAUUUAUCCAUAAUAUUCACUUGCAGACGAGCGGAUAGGAGAAGAAUCUUCAGCCUAACUGGGCAUGGUUAGCUGCAAGUGAGUUUUUAUAAACACAGUCAUUAAAUACAGACUUAGCCCAUGUGACGACUGAUAGAGACUGAAAUAGGUGAUUGAAUUUAUUCGAGCGAAAAGGAAGACCGUUUUCAUUUGUGAAGCAAGAUGAGCGUCUUUCCGACGGGUCUCAAAUAUAAAAAAAAAUAUCUGCGUUCUGGUUGGAAAGAUCAAAGGACAGUCGACAACCGGAAACGUACGUUUAAGAACAUUGGAAUGAAUUGUCGUGCCAUUUUGAUUAUAUAAACAGCGUAUUUUAAUUUUUUAUAUAAUCAUCUUCCUACCCGAGUUUGCCGGAUAUUAAAGCUUGCCCCAGUAGUGGCGUAUCUGCGUGAAAUGGCGCCUAUGGAAAUGUUUGAAAUGCGCCCUCUUGGUCGAUCGUUUACUGCAAUUUUAACUACGGUUUGUUGCUUUGGGAUAGUUCUACGUUAUUUGAGUGGUUUUCAUCAAAAUGAGGUUUCGCCCAUUGUGCGCCCUUAUCCAAAUGGCACCCGUGGCAGGGGCAGUGGCCCUCUGACCCUCUAUAUAUGUAUGCCACCGAGCCCAGGUAUCACCCAGAAAUUCACAAUUCUUCAUUUCUUGUCUGGUCAUGGCAGAAAAGCUUGAUAUCUCAAUGUUGCUCGCUUUAAAACAAUCUGUCCCUGCAUUCCCAUUAAUCUCAAAACUGAUUUUUGUUUCUCUUGCUUGAAGAAGAAUAAAAUUAUUG